UACGUAGGGUGCAAGCGUUAAUCGGAAUUACUGGGCGUAAAGCGUGCGCAGGCGGUUAUGCAAGACAGAGGUGAAAUCCCCGGGCUCAACCUGGGAACUGCCUUUGCGACUGCAUAGCUAGAGUACGGUAGAGGGGGAUGGAAUUCCGCGUGUAGCAGUGAAAUGCGUAGAUAUGCGGAGGAACACCGAUGGCGAAGGCAAUCCCCUGGACCUGUACUGACGCUCAUGCACGAAAGCGUGGGGAGCAAACAGG
rnacentral:rRNA from 1 species